rnacentral:rRNA from 1 species
GCCUGAUGGAGGGGGAUAACUACUGGAAACGGUAGCUAAUACCGCAUAACGUCGCAAGACCAAAGAGGGGGACCUUCGGGCCUCUUGCCAUCGGAUGUGCCCAGAUGGGAUUAGCUAGUAGGUGGGGUAACGGCUCACCUAGGCGACGAUCCCUAGCUGGUCUGAGAGGAUGACCAGCCACACUGGAACUGAGACACGGUCCAGACUCCUACGGGAGGCAGCAGUGGGGAAUAUUGCACAAUGGGCGCAAGCCUGAUGCAGCCAUGCCGCGUGUAUGAAGAAGGCCUUCGGGUUGUAAAGUACUUUCAGCGGGGAGGAAGGGAGUAAAGUUAAUACCUUUGCUCAUUGACGUUACCCGCAGAAGAAGCACCGGCUAACUCCGUGCCAGCAGCCGCGGUAAUACG